CAUGGGAAAGACUCAACAAUUGGGUCUUUUUUUCCCCAGAGAGCUUCUGUUUAAAACACCCUGUAAAGCAGACCAGGUCGAUUUUAAUUUCAUUGUCAACAUUAGCCUCACCCCCUGCCAGCUCCACAAAGUCUGAAGAUACUACUCGUGAGUUACGAGAGGGAGGGUUUAGCAGCUAUUUGCUUUCAGAGUAACAAAGGUUUUACAUACCAUUCCACGAUCGUGGAGAACAUUUCACCCAGCCAAUCAGUCGUUGAUCAUAGUUUAUUUUUCAGUAAGAGAAUUUGCACUACUAAUUUUCAUUCUGAAUAUUCAGCAAAAAUGGCUGUAGAGUUAACUUCAGUCAUAUUUUAAUUUUUAAUUUUACAAUUCAGUUGGGAGAUGGAAAACUGUUUGAAUGAAGCAGUGAUUGUAAAUGUUCUGAACCCAAGAUAGCCUGGGCUGACUGGAUCAGCAGAUUAGGAGAAUAAAACAAUCCUGUCAUAAAGUUUUAGUGAAGUCCUACUGUACUUAAUGAGACACAUAACAGGGCCUGAACACGCCACUUACAGCUGCAAAGCCUUACAAAAAAUGUUGCAAACCCUGAUUAAUCUCUGUAUUGCUCUUUCCUACAACCCACUGUGGCUAAGUUUGAGAUUCCAGGUCAGGAUCUUGCAAGGUACUGGGAAAUGAAAACUAAAAUCUAAUGGGCCUGUCCCACUUAGGCAAUUUUUCAGGCGAUUUUUCACGGUGCAAAGCUAAAGUGAUACAGACACACGCCACGAUGAGCAGAAAGGUUGGCGCUGUAAUUAAGACGGUGAAAGCACAGUGUACGGGAAGGAUCAGUUAAGUCCUUUAAAAGGAGGGGGGGAGGAAGGGGGAGACGGGAUGGGGAGAAGAAGUGGAGAAGCCAGAGAUACACGGCUGUGAAGCUCGGCAGACAUUAACAUUACCGGUCGGUUUUCCUUGGUUCUGAAAACCACUGUUUACGUUUUUUUCCCCAAUGAGCCAAUGAAAUUCACCGGUCAGCACCGGCUACAACCUACGAUCUCCUGGCAACCCACUACCACUACACCUACGGCACAAGAAUUCUCGCUACUCUCCAUGGCGGCUUCAUUCCGGUCACUGCUAAUUUUCCAACUUGUUGACAAAUUAGGGGUGACCAGAAUGAAGCCGCGACUAGUUCCGAGAAUGCGGGAACUCCUCACGAUCAUGAAGGCGACUUUCCGGCAACCACCUGCGAACAUGUGGUGACCAUGUGGUGGCCGCAUAGUCUCCUGUAGUUGCCUAAAAAGUCGCCUAAGUGGGACAGGCCCAUUACUGUUUCUAUCAGGCAGCAUUAUAAGCAUUAUCAGUUAAAGGAAAAUGAUGAAAUGGGGACAGAAAUUCUACAGAAACUGCAAGCACAUCAUUAAUCCAUAUGCAUAGCAAGGAAAAAAGUACAUGUCGCCAGAUCCCAGGUGUCCUAAGCAAGCAAAAUUUCAACAACUAAAGACGAAAGAACACAACCAAAAAAACUUCUGCAGCAAUUAAACAGCCAGAAGAGCACACAAAGAAAAUUACUUCCCCAAUAGGAUUUGAUUUCCCACAAAACAGCACAUUUUACUGGACAGGCUGGGGAUCCUUUUUUAAGCUUUUACUUAAAAGGUUUAUUAAUCUUUAUUAUAAAACUGACCUAGGGCCUAAACACGACUCAAACGUUGAAAAUUAAUGCUAAAAUGUAAUCAAAACAUUUCCAAAUAAAGAUGAGAAGCAGAAAAUGAUUACAAAAACACUGUCCCCUUGGAGCAAAAGCAACAAAGAGAAAUCCACCAUGCUCCCUCUGCACUUUAACCAAACACUGAAAUCAUUGCUAAAUUUGGUUAUAGUUUGAACUUUGUACAUAGACUUUCAAAUAUAGUUCCAGUGCAAUUAAGCAGUUAGAAAUAGUUGAACAAGCAACAAUUCUGGCAUGUUGCCUUGCUGGCGUUCAAAUACUUUGAAACCAUGCUGCCAUAUCUUCAGAAAUUAUUUUCUGAUUGUAAUUCCACCCCCUAAACCAGGCAGAUGCAUAUUGAUAAAUGUGCAGUGCUGUUUACUAUUAUUAGAAAGAGACCAUAAUUUAAUCCAGGCACUAUACAGGAAAUAACUAAACGUAUCCAGAUACAAGCAUGAUACAGUUGAACCAUGCUAGAAAAUAAUCCAGUUCAGACCAACGUGUAAUAAUCUGAAAGGUAUCAGGGAAUUAUCAUCAAUGUACUGUCUCAGGAACGACAAGCAGCAAAACACAAGCUCUCUGCAAAGCAACUUUUCCAUGGUCGGGGCAUGUUUACGCAUUUACUCUUGAUAUCUAUAGAAACCUGUCAAUUGCUGGGAGGAGAACUCCCUUUUGCCCUUUCCAGAAAGCCGUGCUUGCUUUUAUAGAAUGGGCGCAUUCUUCUGUAAACAGAGCUUAUAGAUCGUCCAGGGCUGCCACAUAUACGACAUUUCUAUGUCCAAACCAGCUGAUUUAAUGCUUCACAGGCUCCUCCCAACUGUGAAGGAUAAUUAUCUGCUAAUUCUUUUGAGCUGGCUCAAACAGUGACUCAGGUCACCAAACUCUUGCAGAAUAAAUUUAACGUUCUCAAUACUCUGAACAUUUAAAAGCAUUAUGUAUCACCUAUACUACAGAGCAAAUGCUUAACUAUAUAUCUUCACUCAGCUAACAUUCUGAAUUCCAUUUUGCAUUUUUUUUGUCUUAGAGCCUUAUUGUAUGCAAGUCGGGUCAUGCAGUGUUCAUGUCCAUUUCUAACAGUCACACAGAUAUAAAUCUCAGCGCACCAUUCCUGGGGAAUAGAAGCUCAGCUACGGUCUCCUGAAGGAUAAUACAUAGUCUUACCAACUGCAAUGCUAUCAUCAAUCAGUUAGAAACUAACACAUUUAAUUGCAAACAAAACCUUCCACUAUCAGAAAUGAAAAUAUAGCCUUCUUCCAUUAAUAUAUCAAAUGUGUCCAUAAUUUAUUCGUCAUGACUCCCUCACUUUGAUUUUCACGCGUGUAAACAAUACAAAGGUUUGCACACAUUUUCGAGACACCUCGUUUGCAAUUGUGCUAAGGACCGUUCCUAAUCUCCAUCAUUUCUCCUGACCUCCAUGCAAACCUCACAACUGGCCACAGGCAUCCAGCAUCCAUCACCACUCAUGAAACCUAAGCUUGCAGGGACGGACAGCUGCAUGUGGCAAUAGCUGAACAACUAUUUUUUGUAACUGGGCACUGCUGAACAGCAGGAUGUGUCAAUUACUGGCAACAACCACCUAGUACUUCAGUUGUGCAUUUCAAGAGUUACAAAACACCAAAAACACGCCAGAGAGAAUUCUGAGAGUACUUGCCUAUUUUUACAAACAUUAGACACAAGCAUUUUCUUGCGUUAAUCUUUGAUCACUUGAUUAUAAUGCAAGUGUUUCUGAUAAGUCUGCUGCAUGCAUUUUAAAUAUGUAAGCCUUUUAUCUGUGAACUAUCAUGAUAUAAAUUGGCUAUUAUAAAUUACCAAAGCGUUGCGAUGCGAUAAAAAUGUAGUUGUCUCUCUAUAAGAUACUGACAACAUUAUGCAAAGAAUUUGGGGCCAGUAGAAUGGUAGGUGAUCUUAAGCUAAAUUCCAAGUUACCAAAAUGGCAAACUGGUUAGCAGCAGCAGCAGCUCAUCUGAAGAAUGUAUAGUGUUUCCUCAUGUCUAGACCAUUUCACAUUUGUCACAAUCAUGUUUUAAUAGUAACAAAUUUUAACCUACAUAGGCAAUAUUAAUACUAGACAACUGUAACAUUUCCCUUAAAACGUUUUGAGGGUGCAGUUCACCUGUUAAGCCAAAAAGGAAAACCACUUUGCUGUGCAAGGCUAGUGCCACAAUUAUCACAUCUAUUGCACAAGAUCUCACUAUGUACAGAACAAUGUGCUAAUUAAAAUGUAUUCAGUUUAGCACUUCACUCGCUGAGUUAUUUCGCCAGAUGACUCCUUUGACAUUUGAUGCUCUCUUUGAAUGCUGUGUUUGAGGCCUUUUAAGGCAGAGUAUGAAACCAAACUGAUUUUGCUGUUCAUAUCUGUUUGAUUAUCUUUUUUUUUUCCUUUUCAAACGCUGAUUGAAAAUAAUGCAGUGGAACUUAUAUUACAUCAAAAAAGCUGCAAGUUAAGGAAAACAGCGUGGGGAACAAAAUAAAAUCUGUAUAUAAAUAUGAUUACAGAGGGGGGGAAUAAGAGCAAAGGAGAGUUGUAAUAAGCCGUGCUGUCAGUAUUGGUUGCACAAUGAGCUCCGCCUACCAAAGUGUUCAUCAAUCAAAGGGAAAAUAAGUCUCCAGGAACAGGAUAUUACAGGCAUUUUGUUCAGUGAAUACUAGACAGAUUCAAACAGUGCCUCCCUUAAUCAAAUCCCAAGAAGAACAGGUGGGACACAAAUGCUGUGCUCUUUCCCUUUUCUUGGAUAUGCACUGUUCAAAACUAUAGCUUUCCUUCAACAAAAACUGCUGUUGGGAAUAUUAGGCUAGACUUAUACAAAACUACUUCUGUUGUCUUAAAAUAUAACUUCUCAAGAGCAAGACGUUGGUCAGAUGGGUUCACAAGGUAAAGCUCAGCACCUCCAGAAAUUCAUCAUCAAAUUUCUGUGUUACUGUAUAUCCGUCACAGAGAAGCUUUCAGUGUAGUCAGUUGGGGGAAAUAGUUUUUGCUCUAGGUAGUAAAUCAUUGAUAAUUUAUGAGUGAAUAUUUUUAAAGCACUACUUGAUUCCAGUCCAGUGGAUGUGGUUACACAUUGAGAAAGGUAUGCUGUGGUUUCGCUAACACAUCACUGCCUCAGCUCUGAGAGCUACUGUUAGCCAUCUGUAACAAGAUUAAACAAAAGGUACGAUGAUGAAGGAAGUUGAAAAGAAAUGAUGAGGCCCUUACACGAUCACAAUCACUGAACAUUCAACCCUAGUCUAAUUUGUACCUUCUCACACAGAUGAACACAGCACCUGUUAAAAUCAUCACUGCAUUCUCAGGCUAAACCAUCAAGAAUUAACAUGUAGAGCGAUACAGUAGAUUAAAAAAGUAAUGAAUUUAACAUAGUUAAUAUGUCAUAAAUUGCAUUAUAGAUGAUUGAUAGUGUAAUAUCACAACCUAUCAUCUUCUCAAUCUCUUGUAAAUAAAUACAAACUAUUACAAAGCUCCCAACACAAAAAAAACAGCUCCCAAUAGUCACACUUAAAUCUACUGUGGACACAAGAUUAAGAAAUCAGAUCAAAGUCGAAAGAUGAUAUUGUUCUAAUGUUCAAUGAAACUUUCAUUCCUCUAUGUUGCUGUGUUUUCCACAUACACUGCCCUCCCACCUUCCAAAAAACAGAGUGAUAGUGCAAAAGGCCAUUGAAAGUAAAUCUCCUUUCAAGCUGUCAAAACGAUUUGUGGCAGCUGCACUUAUUUCUUAAAAAAAUAGACAUUUUUGUAACAUUGGGAGUUAUUAAAACUAACCCAAUUGCAAAUAUAAUUAUGCGAGUUAAAUAUAAUAAUGGCAUUUAAAGGUUUGCAUUUAACGUUUGCAGUGGCCCGGGGUCACGUUUAAGAAAAGUUGGCAGCGUUAGUUGCUGGAGGAGUGAGUUGCGAGCGCUUGGAGCCAGUGCGGUGACUGGACACCGGCUCCCAGCGGACGCGGAGACCCCCGCAACCGUCCGGCCAGCACCAGGGAGAGGGUCGACACCUGGUGGGGAACCGGGCUCUGCGAUCGUGUGUUUCCCAAGGCAACAGCACCGAAUGCGGGGAAAGAGAGAGCCAGGAGCAAGACACAAUAAUGUAGCAGGGGAGGACACGGAGACUGUGUAACAGGGAAAUGUACAUGCAUCCUAUAUACAAGGCAUCGAACGGAAUGUUCCGGCCGUCCCUUGCAAAGAAAACUGAACGCUCCUCGGGAUUAUUUUUACGGGCAAUGUAAUAAACCUAGAGUUUAAAUUCU